AUAACGAACACAAAGGGAGAGAGGAGAGGCGCUGGGUAGAUAUUCUCUAGGCCGUUUAGAAAACGUGGAGUUGUUCCUUUGGCCAUGUAUAUGCGAAAUCUGUAAGAAAGGUGAUAUUGUAGACAUCAAGGGAGUGGGCACUGUUCAAAUAGGAAUGCCCCCCAAGUGUCACCAUGGCUAAACUGGAAGAGCCUACAAUGUUCCCCAGCAUGCUGUUGGCAUUGUUGUAAACAAACAAGUUAAGGGCAAGAUUCCUGCCAAGAGAAUUAACGUGGGUAUUAAGCACUUUAAGCACUCUACAAGCUAAGAGAAUUUCCUGAAACGCAUGAAGGAAAAUGAUCAGAAAAAGAAGGAAGCCAAAGAGAAAGUUACCUGGAUUCAACUGAAGCACCAGUCAGCUCCACCCAGAGAA
rnacentral:lncRNA from 1 species